rnacentral:tRNA from 1 species
CACUGAUUGGCUCAGUUGGUAGAGCAUGGGACUCUUGAUCUCAGAGUUGUGAGUUUGAGCCUCAUGUUGAUGG